UGAAGUGGGAUUUGGCGAAUU
rnacentral:miRNA from 1 species